GACGAACGCUGGCGGCGUGCCUAAUACAUGCAAGUCGAACGCAGUGGGGACGGGUGCGUAACACGUGGGUAACCUCCCAUCAGAGGGGAUAAAACUUGGAAACAGGUGCUAAACCGAAAUUGAUGGAUGGACCUGCUGUGCAUUAGCUAGUUGGUGAGGUAACGGCUCACCAAGGCAACGAUGCAUAGCCGAGCUGAGAGGGUGAUCGGCCACACUGGGACUGAGACACGGCCCAGACUCCUACGGGAGGCAGCAGUGGGGAAUCUUCGGCAAUGGACGAAAGUCUGACCGAGCAACGCCGCGUGAGUGAAGAAGGUUUUCGGAUCGUAAAACUCUGUGGUUAGGGAAGCGUUAUCUAACCAGAAAGCAACGGCUAACUACGUGCCAGCAGCCGCGGUAAUUC
rnacentral:rRNA from 1 species